GACGAACGCUGGCGGCGCGCUUAACACAUGCAAGUCGAGCGAUGAAAUUUCGACAGAUCCCUUCGGGGUGAAGAUGAAAUGGAUUAGCGGCGGACGGGUGAGUAACACGUGAGUAACCUGCCUUUGACAUUGGGAUAGCCUCGGGAAACUGGGAUUAAUACCAAAUGACACUAACUGAUCACAUGAUCAAUUAGUCAAAGAAAUUCGGUCAAAGAUGGUCUCGCGGCUGAUUAGCUAGUUGGUGAGGUAACGGCCCACCAAGGCGACGAUCAGUAGCCGGCCUGAGAGGGUGAUCGGCCACAUUGGAACUGAGACACGGUCCAAACUCCUACGGGAGGCAGCAGUGGGGAAUAUUGCACAAUGGGGGAAACCCUGAUGCAGCGACGCCGCGUGAGCGAAGAAGGCCUUCGGGUCGUAAAGCUCUUUUAUGAGGGAAGAUAAUGACGGUACCUCAAGAAAAAGCCCCGGCUAACUACGUG
rnacentral:rRNA from 1 species